AAGAAAGCUCUCCAAAUGAACUUGGAGGUAGAGAGCUUCUUGGUUUGGCCUCUGCUGGUGAGCAAUUGCCGACCGUCUUCUUUAGGCAUUGAAGUCUGCUCUCUAAAGGGCAUGGCCUUCAUGCCACAGAUAAAAGCUCAGCAUACCUAGCAUCUUACAUCAAGUUUCCUAGCCAGUGACGAUAGAUUUCCACUAGCUCAAAACACUAAUUUCAGGAAGUCUGCAGAAGCAAAUGAGCAAGGAUGGUAAAGAUUCUUUUAAGGUACCUUUCAACGUCUGUCCCACAUUGACUGGGAAGGAAAGUGGCAACCAACCCACCCUUAUAUGAGUGUGAAGAAGCCAACAUUAAUCUUUCUAAGCUGAAAUUUAUAUCAGGGGUGACUUGACCUACUUUCCUUCCUUACCUUACAUGAGUCUAGUCAUUUCUUCUCCAAGUGAACAACUAGCUUUUCCAAGACUCUGGGCCAUGCUAGUCAAUUUCCCCAGAGUAUGCCAGUCACACAGCCCCUGUGUCAUAGCUUGGAUCAUCAAAGCAACAAAACCGAACAAGGAUAAGCCAGCACCUUUAUACUUAGAAAAAUCUAGUGACCUUUGGGGGCUCCCAGAGCCUGACCCACUAGCCAAAAAGCAUACGAGGGCGGGGCCUACCCUUUCCCCACAUAUGUAGCGGAUGUGCAACUUCUUCUUCAUGCAGGUCCCCCAACAACUGGGGUGGGGUCUUACCCCAGUUCUGCUGCCUGCCAGUCGAAACUGCUCCCCUAACUGGGCUGUCUUGUCUGGCCUCAGUGGAGAGGACGCCUAGUUCUGCAGUGACUCAAGGUACCAAGACACUGCCCAACCACAGCCCACACCUGUCAGAAGACCAUGUAGGCACACCUCCCCCACUGUCCGUGGACUCUAUGUCCAAGCCCCUUCUUGUUGCAGUAUCUCAGCCCCCAUCUCAGGCAGAGACUCCCUGAUUGGCCACCAGAAGAUCAGCCCCUGACUUGGGUGGAGACCCCUUUGCUCAGACACAGGAUACAUAGGCUGGAAGAUCGGAGAAGCAGAAACUAAGGAAUAAAAUAUCCAUCCAAUGAAAAAAGCCAGAAAUUUGUACCCAGAUCUAAAUACACCCCAAACCCAGAAGCCUAGAUGCCCGUGUAAGAACACAACAGCCAGGGCAACAUAAGGGCACCAGCACACACCUAUCCUACUACAGCAGGCCCUGAUUAUACCAACACAGCUGAAGCACAGGGAAAAGACCUUCAAGCCAACUUUAUGAAGAUGAUAGAGGUCCUUAAAAAGUGAAGAAAUUGCUUAAGGAAAUUGGAGGAAAUGAAUAAAUCCCUUAAUGAAAGCCAAGAAAAAAACAAGGUGAAAGGAACAAGUCAAAAUAUUCACAGCCUAAAUAUGGAAAUAAGAGCAAUAAGGAAAACAAACUGGGGGAAAUAUGGAAAUGGAAAAUCUAAUACAUGAGCAGGAACUACAGUUGUGAGCAUCAACAACAAAAUGUAAGAGAUGGAAGAAAGACUCAGGUGUAUGACAGAAAAAGUAGACAAAGAAAAUGUUAAAUCUAAAAGUAUCCUGACCCAAAACAUCCAGGGAAUCUAGGACACUAUGAAAAGGCCAAACCUAAGAAUAUUAAGAAUCCCAGCUUAAAGGCCCAGAAAAUAUUUUUUAAUAAAACCAUAGAAGAAAAAUGUUCUAACCUAAAGAAAGGGAUGCUUAAAAAUGCACAAGAAUCUUACAGAAAACCAAAUAGAUUAGACCAGAAAAAAAAAGCCGCCUUGCCACAUAAUAAUUAAAACACUAACUAUAUAGAAUUCUUAUAUUAAAUAAUAAUUAAAUAAGCAUUAAUAUUAAAAGCUUCAAGGGGAAAAGGCCAAGUAAUAUAUGAAGGCAUAUCUCUUAGAAUUACGCCCAACUUCUCAAUCGACACUCUAAAAGUCAGAAGGGCCUGGACAGACAUCCUGCAGACUCUAAGAAACUACAGAUGCCAGACCAGACUACUGUACCCAGCAAAACCACCACUAUAUCUAAAAUCACUAUAUAUGGAGAAAACAAGAUAUUCCAUGAUAAAUUCAAAUAUAUAUAUAUAUAUAAAUAUCCAGAAAUCCAGCCCUAUAGAAGGUACCAGAAA